rnacentral:misc_RNA from 1 species
UAAGAAUUCAUCUAUACUAUGGCCAAUUUGUUGGUCAUUACAAGGGAGACUAGUUAAUCUGAAAGCAAUUUGACAGUGCCUGUUGUACCAAAACGUCUACCUGGAAUGACUCUUGAUGGUGAUAAAAUUUCUGCAAAAGAAAAGUUGUAUGAAUCUGUUCCUAGCCGACUCUGCAACCACCCCUUGCCUCCGGAGAAGCCAUCAGUCAUGAUCCAGCAGUUAUUGAAGCCAAAGCUCGUCAGCGAUUUAGCAACUGUUUUAGCUGAAUCAGAGUACGAGUCCAUUAUCACGAUGUUA